rnacentral:sRNA from 1 species
GCUUAGCCCCGAUAGCAACGGCAUCCUUUUAUGGUGGGGUUCACCAUAAAAGAUAUAGUGGAUAGCGGGACUUAAA